ensembl:lncRNA
AGCAGUUCCUCCUUAAGGUCAGAGAUUGCAGCAUCUGAGGGCCUCUUCAAAAGAAGACGUAGUUGAUGAAGGCGUUCUGGAGCAGGACCAGAAAGACCACGACCAAGCAGCCUUGAGAUCUUAGGCAGCCGUCUCCCUCAGGUCCCUCUCUAUCUCCCCACACAUCCACCAACCACUGGAACACAUCUCCAAAGUUCUGCCGGGCCAGCUCAGCUUCCCCUCAGAAGAAGUGCCGCCACCUGCCAGAUGAAGGAGCCUUUUGAGAGGCAGCUGGCAUCGUGAUUGGACUGUACUUUGGUCUGUUCCAAUCCAGCUUCAGCUCCAGAGACGGCAGGCGGGACGAGUCAACGGAGGCCGGGUGGACGAAGACCAAAGAACUACAGACUCUUCACAACCUGCUCAAACUCUU